rnacentral:rRNA from 1 species
UACGUAGGGUGCGAGCGUUGUCCGGAAUUAUUGGGCGUAAAGAGCUCGUAGGCGGUGUGUCACGUCGUUCGUGAAAACCUGCAGCUUAACUGUGGGCGUGCGGUCGAUACGGGCAUCACUGGAGUUCGGCAGGGGAGACUGGAAUUCCUGGUGUAGCGGUGAAAUGCGCAGAUAUCAGGAAGAACACCCGUGGCGAAGGCGGCUUUCUGGGACGGUACUGACGCUGAGACGCGAAGGCGUGGGGAGCGAACAGG